UGAGGAAUAUUGGUCAAUGGGCGAGAGCCUGAACCAGCCAAGUAGCGUGCAGGAUGACGGCCCUAUGGGUUGUAAACUGCUUUUAUGUGGGGAUAAAGUGCGUGACGUGUCAUGCAUUGCAGGUACCACAUGAAUGAGGACCGGCUAAUUCCGUGCCAGCAGCCGCGGUAAUACGGAAGGGCCGGGCGUUAUCCGGAUUUAUUGGGUUUAAAGGGAGAGUAGGCUGUCUAUUAAGCGUGUUGUGAAAUUUACCGGCUCAACCGGUGGCUUGCAGCGCGAACUGGUCGACUUGAGUAUGCAGGAAGUAGGCGGAAUUCAUGGUGUAGCGGUGAAAUGCUUAGAUAUCAUGACGAACUCCGAUUGCGCAGGCAGCUUACUGUAGCAUAACUGACGCUGAUGCUCGAAAGUGCGGGUAUCAAACAGG
rnacentral:rRNA from 1 species